GUAGUCAGAUAAUAAGGGGAUUCUAUUGGAUGAGUAGCCAUUAUUUUCUCCGUCAGAACAAAAUAGCAUAACGUGUGUUAGGUUAGGCAUCCAAUAUGAUUAACUCUCAUAACAAAUUAAGAAGAAUCAAAAAAUAAUUUGGUUGUCAAUUACCCAUUGUGAUUGAUUGUUAGGUAUAAUUGUUUGAUGAUAUAGAAGAUUAAUGGAAGAUAGGGACGGGGAUUUUAGAGUUUCCCUUAUAUCUUUCAUUUUUUGUAUUUGUGUUGUUAUUGGUGGUGUAUUCCUUGUCAUCUAUCUUACCCUGCCUAAAUUUUCUCAGUCAUGGUUCCUUUUAUUAGCAUUGAUAUUGGUUGGCUCCCCAUGGCUCUUUUGGCUCCUAACGUACAUGUACACUUGCAUUAAACGUUGUUAUUGCAAUAUUCACAAUCCACAAAUCUCUGCACCAUCCACAAUGUCAAAUCUUGGAACCCCUAGGAAUGUUUUUUCUACCAGAAAGUCCACAUGUUGUUGUCAUCAUAACAACAAUUAUGAUGUCAAAUUUGAUUGCGUUGUGGAAGUGGAGGAAAAUGGAUAUAACCACCAACAUGGAGAAAAUGUAUGAGUUGAGUCUUGAAAGGGAUCGAGAAUUAAAGCUUGAUGGAUUCAUUUUUAAGGUUUUUAUAAUUGAUCAACGUAAUUCACUUGUAUUUGUCGACAUUAAUUGCUGUAUAUGCUUCAUGUGGAAAAUAUUGUACGAUCAAAUCUAUCAAAUAAAACGUAUGGUCCAUUUGCCAUGCAUGUAAAUCCCCAUAUACUUCAAGAAAAACUAAUAAGUUCAAAUGAAAUCAUUAAAUAUAUGGGUGCAUCCAUCUCUGAGAUCAAGAGUUUUUAUACCAGGACAGCCCAGUGCAGUAAAACUUUUGAUGUGUUCGGGGUUCAGAGCGAAGGACCGAACUACAAGGGUUUAUUGUACAUAACUCUAUCCCGCAUUUCUCCAAAAGGUUGUUUCCAUGACUUGAACCAACUUUACCAGUUCCGGCAUACAGAAGAUGAAGAAAGACAUAUGAUGUUCAAUAUAUAUAAUGUGUCAAGAGUCAUUUCCAGUCAGAGAGAAGAUGGUAUAAAUGGAAUGAUAGAGAAAUAGUUAAGAAAGUGAGUUUACCAAGAAAUUUAUGCUAAACACAUUGUACUGCAUUUGUGAUUACUUUGAAAAGAAAAUCUUUAAGUGUUUGGUGUACAGUUAAGUUAAGGCAUGGACACAUAGUUUCAACUUUGAUGUCAAAACAUAUGAUUACUCCAAAGACACGAUGAUCUUGGAUCAUAGUCGAACCAGUUAAGGAUGAUGUGGGCUUGCACAUCCACUUAUCAUGAAAGAUUUUCAUGGGAGAGUGGAACAUCUUAGAGAGUAAGUUUGUUCCUACAAACAGUCGCUUAGCCAUUUCACAUUUGUAAUGAGGGCUCCACAAUUUCUGAUUAACAUUCAAUUCUUACCAUUUCAUAAGCUUUACAAUAAAAGGCUCUGGCAACUAUAUAUAUAUAUAUAUAUAUAUACUACCAUUCUACUUUCUUUAUUAUACUUCUUGCACUUGUUAUCGUGCAUUCAAAUACUGCUUGUCCUACAAUAAUUCGGGAGGUUGGUGGCCCAUCGAGAGUUGCGGGACACAAACUCUUGAACCACUUACAUGUGAAUGUAGCAUCUGGCUCACAUGGCCCACCUUGAGGCUAUAAUUUUGUCACAUUCUAAUUACCCAUACAAGAAAAUAAGAGGAAAUGCCUACUCAUAUUUAAAUUGACAAACAUUUUUAUUGACAAAAUACGGAUGCCAAUGGGGACAUGGCAUAUUACUGUUACUUACCCAUAGCAAAACAAUUUUCCAUGUUCAUAUAGGACCACAAUAGAUUAACAUUAUUGGAGUGAAAUAGAUGUUGCCUUGUCAGUACUUUUUACUCACUCUAAGAUGGAGGGGUUUAGCAAAGCUCAAGAAAUAUCAACUAAACAAACAUUUAACAAAACCAGCAUCACAAAUUUCCUGCUGUCUUGCGCACAAA